CCUUUUGUAUAAUGGGUCAGCGACUUAUAUUCUGUAGCAAGGUUAACCGAAUAGGGGAGCCGAAGGGAAACCGAGUCUUAACUGGGCGUUAAGUUGCAGGGUAUAGACCCGAAACCCGGUGAUCUAGCCAUGGGCAGGUUGAAGGUUGGGUAACACUAACUGGAGGACCGAACCGACUAAUGUUGAAAAAUUAGCGGAUGACUUGUGGCUGGGGGUGAAAGGCCAAUCAAACCGGGAGAUAGCUGGUUCUCCCCGAAAGCUAUUUAGGUAGCGCCUCGUGAAUUCAUCUCCGGGGGUAGAGCACUGUUUCGGCAAGGGGGUCAUCCCGACUUACCAACCCGAUGCAAACUGCGAAUACCGGAGAAUGUUAUCACGGGAGACACACGGCGGGUGCUAACGUCCGUCGUGAAGAGGGAAACAACCCAGACCGCCAGCUAAGGUCCCAAAGUCAUGGUUAAGUGGGAAACGAUGUGGGAAGGCCCAGACAGCCAGGAUGUUGGCUUAGAAGCAGCCAUCAUUUAAAGAAAGCGUAAUAGCUCACUGGUCGAGUCGGCCUGCGCGGAAGAUGUAACGGGGCUAAACCAUGCACCGAAGCUGCGGCAGCGACGCUGAUGCGUUGUUGGGUAGGGGAGCGUUCUGUAAGCCUGCGAAGGUGUGCUGU
rnacentral:rRNA from 1 species